rnacentral:rRNA from 1 species
GUGGGGAAUCUUGCGCAAUGGGCGAAAGCCUGACGCAGCCAUGCCGCGUGAAUGAUGAAGGUCUUAGGAUUGUAAAAUUCUUUCAUCGGGGACGAUAAUGACGGUACCCGGAGAAGAAGCUCCGGCUAACUUCGUGCCAGCAGCCGCGGUAAUACGAAGGGUGCAAGCGUUAUCCGGAUUCAUUGGGUUUAAAGGGUGCGUAGGCGGAGCGUUAAGUCAGUGGUGAAAUCCUGCAGCUUAACUGUAGACUUGCCAUUGAUACUGGCGCUCUUGAGUGCGCUUGAAGUGGGCGGAAUGUGCCGUGUAGCGGUGAAAUGCUUAGAUAUGGCACAGAACACCAAUUGCGAAGGCAGCUCACUAAGGCGAUACUGACGCUGAGGCACGAAAGCGUGGGGAUCGAACAGGAUUAGAAACCCGUGUAGUCC